GACGAACGCUGGCGGCGUGCCUAAUACAUGCAAGUUGAGCGCUGAAGGUUGGUACUUGUACCAACUGGAUGAGCAGCGAACGGGUGAGUAACGCGUGGGGAAUCUGCCUUUGAGCGGGGGACAACAUUUGGAAACGAAUGCUAAUACCGCAUAAAAACUUUAAACACAAGUUUUAAGUUUGAAAGAUGCAAUUGCAUCACUCAAAGAUGAUCCCGCGUUCUAUUAGCUAGUUGCUGAGGUAAAGGCUCACCAAGGCGAUGUUACAUAGCCGACCUGAGAGGGUGAUCGGCCACAUUGGGACUGAGACACGGCCCAAACUCCUGCGGGAAGCAGCAGUAGGAAAUCUUCGGCAAUGGACGAAAGUCUGACCGAGCAACGCCGCGUGAGUGAAGAAGGUUUUCGGAUCGUAAAACUCUGUUGGUAGAGAAGAACGUUGGUGAGAGUGGAAAGCUCAUCAAGUGACGGUAACUACCCAGAAAGGGACGGCUAACUACGUG
rnacentral:rRNA from 1 species